rnacentral:rRNA from 1 species
CCUACGGGAGACAGCAGUGAGGAAUAUUGGUCAAUGGGCGAGAGCCUGAACCAGCCAAGUCGCGUGAAGGAUGACGGCCCUGCGUGUUGUAAACUUCUUUUGUCAGGGAGCAAAUGAGUCCACUUGUGCUCUUAUCAAGAUUACCUUAAGAAAAACCUUCGCCUAACUCCUUGCCGCCAGCCGCGGUAAUACGGAGAAUGCUAGCGUUAUCCGGAUUUUUUGGGUUAAAGGGUUGCGUAGGCGGACUCUCAAGUCAGCGGUAAAAAUCCGGGGCUCAACCCCGGCGAGCCGUUGAAACUGGGGUGCUUGAGUGGGCGAGAAGUACGCGGAAUGCGCGGGGUAGCGGUGAAAUGCAUAGAUAUCAGGAAGAACACCGAUUGCGAAGGCAGCAUACCG